AUGCUGCUGACAGUGAUAAACUCCUACAUCUUCAGCCUGAACUCCACUGAUGGUCAGAGUGAAGUCAGCUCCAGACUGACGGGAGGUGAUACUCACCCCACCCUGAAGGUUCUGGGUCCCUCCAGUGAGGAACUGAAACAGGGGAAGGCCACGCUCAUGUGUGUGGCCAACAAGGGCUUCCCCUCAGACUGGAGUCUGUCCUGGAAGGUGGAUGGCAGUGGCAGCAUCAGCUGGGAGGAGAGCAGGAGCCCCGUGGUGCUGCAGAAUGACGGCCUCUACAGCUGGAGCAGCACCCUGAGGCUCCCUGCAGACCACUGGAUGAAGGUGGGCUCUGUGACCUGUGAGGCCACCCAGGGCUCCCAGACUCUAGUCUCAGAGCCACUGAGGAGAGACCAGUGUCCACAGUCCUGA